rnacentral:rRNA from 1 species
GGAUUCCCCUAGUAACUGCGAGUGAAGCGGGAAGAGCUCAAAUUUAAAAUCUGGCGUCCUCUGGUCGUCCGAGUUGUAGUCUGGAGAAGCGUCUUCCGUGUUGGACCGUGUACAAGUCUCUUGGAACAGGGCGUCAUAGAGGGUGAGAAUCCCGUCUUUGACACGGACUACCAAUGCUUUGUGAUGCGCUCUCAAAGAGUCGAGUUGUUUGGGAAUGCAGCUCAAAAUGGGUGGUAAAUUCCAUCUAAAGCUAAAUAUAGGCGAGAGACCGAUAGCGAACAAGUACCGUGAGGGAAAGAUGAAAAGCACUUUGGAAAGAGAGUUAAACAGUACGUGAAAUUGCUGAAAGGGAAACGCUUGAAGUCAGUCAUGUCUGCCAGGACUCAGCCUCGCUUCUGCUUGGUGUACUUUCUGGUUUGAUGGGCCAACAUCAAUUUUGACCGUCGGAGAAAGGCUUUGGGAAUGUGGCACCUUCGGGUGUGUUAUAGCCCUUUGUUGUAUACGACGGUUGGGAUUGAGGACUGCAGCACGCCUUUAUGGCCGGGGUUCGCCCACGUACGUGCUUAGGAUGUUGGCAUAAUGGCUUUAAGCGACCCGUCUUGAAACACGGACCAAGGAGUCUAACAUGCCUGCGAGUGUUUGGGUGGAAAACCCAUGCGCGUAAUGAAAGUGACAGCUGAGAUCCUCUCAUCAGGAGCACCAGCGCCUGGACUUGAUCUACGGAGACAGUUCUACGGUAGAGCAUGUAUGUUGGGACCCGAAAGAUGGUGAACUAUGCCUGAAUAGGGUGAAGCCAGAGGAAACUCUGGUGGAGGCUCGUAGCGAUUCUGACGUGCAAAUCGAUCGUCAAAUUUGGGUAUAGGGGCGAAAGACUAAUCGAAC